ensembl:lncRNA
AGAGGAGGAGGGCUGGAAGGGGCCAGGGGAUUUUGAGGGAUGAGGGUACAGAUGCUGGGGCUGGUUAGGAAGACUCCAGUAGGCAAGUGUGAGAUAACUAAGCUUAUGGAGAUGGCGAGUAUGAAACAGACUUACGGAAAACAACAGAGGACUGCAGAGAAGAUAUGGAGGCAAGAUUAUUUUGUGGUGGAUGUACAAUUCAGUAGGAGGCCCCAGGGCCAGGUUGUUUUAGGUAGAAACUUUUCAGGUGGAAAGGAGGAGAGGGAAGGCUAUGAUUUCCAGAGAGAGGAUGGUUUUGGAAAGCUCUCUUUGGUGGGCAGGAGGGACUUGAAAGACACAGGAAGUGUGAGAGGGCUGUUCUUUGCUUCCCAUUUCACCUCAUCUGACCAAUUCCCCUCUGUACUUUCCUGUGAGCAGCUGACUGCCUGGGAGAGAAAUGCACUUCUUUAUUCAGUUCCUAUUUCUUCUACCACGCUUCAGGAUGGACCUAGAGGAGUGGUCUUAUAAAAUCAGUGGUUGGACCAUUGUACCUCACGACCAUCAUCUUGCUGUAUUUGCUGUCUGGUGACCCAGUUUUGAGAGAAGAAUGGAAUCACUUUCAUCACUAUUUCUUGUACCUCCUGCACCCUCUGGAGAAGGAGUUAACCAUAUGAAUGAGUUUGGAAUGAGGAGUCACUCAGCCAUGC